rnacentral:rRNA from 1 species
GAUGAACGCUAGCGGCAGGCCUAAUACAUGCAAGUCGAACGGUGUCUUUGGACAUAGUGGCGCACGGGUGCGUAACACGUAUGCAACCUACCUUACAUUGGGGGAUAGCCUUUCGAAAGGGAGAUUAAUACCGCAUAAGACAGUAGCUGGGCAUCCAGCAGCUGUUAAAGAUUUAUCGAUGUAAGCUGGGCAUGCGUCCAAUUAGCUAGUUGGUGAGGUAACGGCUCACCAAGGCAAUGAUUGGUAGGGGAACUGAGAGGUCAAUCCCCCACACUGGCACUGAGAUACGGGCCAGACUCCUACGGGAGGCAGCAGUAGGGAAUAUUGGGCAAUGGACGCAAGACUGACCCAGCCAUGCCGCGUGCAGGAUGAAGGCGUUAUGCGUUGUAAACUGCUUUUAUACAGGAAGAAACGACUCUUGCGAGAGGCAUUGACGGUACUGUAUGAAUAAGCACCGGCUAACUCCGUGCCAGCCGCCGCGGUAA